GAUGAACGCUGACAGCAUGCUUAACACAUGCAAGUCUACUUGAACUUCGGUUUGUGUGGCGGACGGGCGAGUAACGCGUACGGAACUUGCCUCACAGUUAGGUACAACAUUUGGAAACGUAUGCUAAUACCUGAUAUUAUGAUUUUAGGGCAUCCUAGGAUUAUGAAAGCUAUAUGUGCUGUGAGUGAGCUUUGCGUCCCAUUAGCUAGUUGGAGCGGUAACGGCUCACCAAGGCGAGGAUGGGUAGCCGGCCUGAGAGGGUGAACGGCCACAAGGGGACGAAGACACGGCCCUUACUCCUACGGGAGGCAACAGGGGGGAAUAUGGGACAAUGGACCAAAAGUGUGAUCGAACAGUUCUGUGUGCAAGAUGACGUUUUUCGUAAUGUAAAGUUCUUUCAGUUGGGAAGAAAAAAAUGACGGUACCAGGAGAAGAAGCGACGGCUAAAUACGUG
rnacentral:rRNA from 1 species